AUUCUGGUCGGAAUCCACCUCUCCGCCUGUGCAACACACACUUUACACACGCACGGGGACUGCAAGCGGGCAGCAUCGAUCGUGGCUCCUUUAAGACAAACUCAAGACAGACAUUUUUUUAACCCUCCUUCUCUAAUCUCCCUCCAGUGCAGCACUUGCAAAGAGGGAGAGAGAGAGAGAGAGAAAGAAAGAGAGAGAGAGAAGAGAGAAACUGAUUAGGAAUUAGGACUGAUUCAAGGGAAGCGAGCGCUAGGGCUUUGUGCAUUUGAAUAUUAACAUUUGAGGUGUUCUGACCAGAAGAAGACAGAGCGGAUGAUCAUUCAUUCACCACGUUGACAACCUCGCCUGUGAUUGACAGCUGGAGUGGCAGAAAGCCAUGAGAUUUGGUAGUUGGGUCUGAGGGGCGCUCUUUUUUUUCCUUUUCUUUCUUUCUUUUUUUUUUUUAAACUGAUUUUUGGGGGAGAGAAGAUCUGCUUUUUUUUUGCCCCCGCUGCUGUCUUGGAAACGGAGCGCUUUUAUGCUCAGUGACUCGGGCGCUUUGCUUCAGGUCCCGUAGACCGAAGAUCUGGGACCAGUAGCUCACGUUGCUGGAGACGUUAAGGGAUUUUUCGUCGUGCUUUUUUUUUUUUUUUUUUCCGGGGGAGUUUGAAUAUUUGUUUCUUUUCACACUGGCCUUAAAGAGGAUAUAUUAGAAGUUGAAGUAGGAAGGGAGCCAGAGAGGCCGAUGGCGCAAAGGUACGACGAUCUACCCCAUUACGGGGGCAUGGAUGGAGUAGGCAUCCCCUCCACGAUGUAUGGGGACCCGCAUGCAGCCAGGUCCAUGCAGCCGGUCCACCACCUGAACCACGGGCCUCCUCUGCACUCGCAUCAGUACCCGCACACAGCUCAUACCAACGCCAUGGCCCCCAGCAUGGGCUCCUCUGUCAAUGACGCUUUAAAGAGAGAUAAAGAUGCCAUUUAUGGACACCCCCUCUUCCCUCUCUUAGCACUGAUUUUUGAGAAAUGUGAAUUAGCUACUUGUACCCCCCGCGAGCCGGGGGUGGCGGGCGGGGACGUCUGCUCGUCAGAGUCAUUCAAUGAAGAUAUAGCCGUGUUCGCCAAACAGAUUCGCGCAGAAAAACCUCUAUUUUCUUCUAAUCCAGAACUGGAUAACUUGAUGAUUCAAGCCAUACAAGUAUUAAGGUUUCAUCUGUUGGAAUUAGAGAAGGUACACGAAUUAUGUGACAAUUUCUGCCACCGAUAUAUUAGCUGUUUGAAAGGGAAAAUGCCUAUCGAUUUGGUGAUAGACGAUAGAGAAGGAGGAUCAAAAUCAGACAGUGAAGAUAUAACAAGAUCAGCAAAUCUAACCGACCAGCCCUCUUGGAACAGAGAUCAUGAUGACACGGCAUCUACUCGUUCAGGAGGAACCCCAGGCCCUUCCAGCGGUGGCCACACAUCGCACAGUGGGGACAACAGCAGUGAGCAAGGUGAUGGCUUGGACAACAGUGUAGCUUCCCCCAGCACAGGUGACGAUGAUGACCCUGAUAAGGACAAAAAGCGUCACAAAAAGCGUGGCAUCUUUCCCAAAGUAGCCACAAAUAUCAUGAGGGCGUGGCUGUUCCAGCAUCUAACACACCCUUACCCUUCUGAAGAACAGAAAAAGCAGUUGGCACAAGACACGGGACUCACCAUCCUUCAAGUGAACAAUUGGUUUAUUAACGCCCGGAGAAGAAUAGUGCAGCCCAUGAUAGACCAGUCCAACCGAGCAGUAAGUCAAGGAACACCUUAUAAUCCUGAUGGACAGCCCAUGGGAGGUUUCGUAAUGGAUGGUCAGCAACAUAUGGGAAUUAGAGCACCAGGACCUAUGAGUGGAAUGGGCAUGAAUAUGGGCAUGGAGGGGCAGUGGCACUACAUGUAACCUUCAUCUAGUUAACCAAUCGCAAAGCAAGGGGGAAAAUGAAAAGUCCAAAAGUCAAAAACCUAGGACUGGUACAGUGUCUCCAUGAUGCCAGUAGAGAAAUGGACUCGUAUCUUUCCACUAAGCCACCCCUGGUAGUGCUGUCCUCAGUCUCUUGGGGCAUACUUCUUUCCUGAUCUGGCACAAACGACCCCUCAGGGCUUAAAGACUUGCGAAUGACAGAUGAUCAAGCUCUGGACCCAUGUUGAAAGCAGACUUCUGCGAGGAGAAAGAACAGCUGUUCACCAUCUUCCCAGAGUCAAAUUGAACACACCGGAACAGAGAGAUUGCAUUCUUACCCAAAUACUCUUCGUGAUUGCCUGCUUUGCGGCUUUGGGAUUCUUCAGGGAGUAGAGAACAUUCACACGGAUUGACAUCCCAGUUUUCUCAGCAUGUAAGCAUAUUGUAAUCCUAUUUAUUCACUAAAAAUUUAAAUUCAUGAGAUCUGCACUUUAUUUUCUUUAAUCUGCAGGCCGAAUACAGCUUCUUAUUCACUGAUGACUAACUCAAAAUUUUAAAACGAUAUUUUUAGGUUUGUAUUUCCAAAUAUUAAAAGCGUCUUCCUUCUCUUAUGGCCCCACCCCAGCAUGUUCUUAAGUGGUCUAUUUCAAACAAAAGAAAAUGACAUCCCCCUUUCAACUAGCCAAACAUUAGAUUCUCUCAGAACUGAUUGGGGGUUCACUAGAAGUUUUGCAAUUAGAUUCAUACAAAUUGAAUUAUUUUCUUUUUUUCCAAACAUCGUUCUUAGAACUUUAUAAGUGUAGCAAUACUGGCUUUACAGUUUCAUGUGGCUCAUUUACAAAUAAAGGUAUUUUAAUAAAACCAAGUUCUGUGUAACUUUGAGAAACAAAAAGCUGGAACAAUCUCACAUUAAAACAUUACAAAAGGAUUGUAAAGGGAAAUUUAAAGGGAGAAAACUUGAUUCUAUAAUGCAAUCCAGCAGUAAUCAAUUUUACCUUCAAUAUCUUGCUUUUGUUUUCAAAAUGCUAAAUAAACAAUACAUAAUGCAUCCCUCAUCAGCCAAACCAUGGAGGCUCUGUGCUCAAAUAACAGGAAACAUAUUCAAUUUUCCUAACAGAAGACAGUUCAUUAAGCUGUGCCACAUCAAAUAAAACUUUAAUUUCUCCAGCAUCAGAGUCGCAAUGAAAGCAAUUGAAGAAGAUGAGCCAUAUGGUACUUCUAUCAGCAAACACAUAUUGCUCAUUCCCCCAAAGUUUUCUAAUUCUGCUCCCCAGACCUGUGUAAUAUAGAUAAUGUGCUCCGAGAGCAGCAACCAUGAGCUAUCUAGUGUACACUUCUAAUACUGUAUUUAAUGGGAAAUAAUGAAUCAUAAAAGCCUAGAGAAGACGGCUUUUGCUAACCUAAAUCUCAGCUGUAAUUUCAUUGUUCUGUGCCUAAGAUGCUGUUUGCCCUUUCCAAACAACAGCAGUUGAACAUAAUUAUGCUGCUUCGAACCUGGGCUUGAAAAAGCAUCCCUAAUAUAACCAACUUUCUAUUAACUCCUGAAAUUCUGAAUUUAAUGAUGCACCGAUACAGGCAUUGAGAUAACCAAGCAUGUGUCAUUUAAAAAUCCAAACAAGCAUUUUUCUUCUUCUUCUCUUUGGUCAGACUGCUCAAUGCUUUUAUGCUUCCUCCUCCGCUCCCUGCUUGCGUCCAUCCCCCACCCCACACCCCACCCCAUGCAACAGGAGUGGCAUGAUUAAAAAUGAGGAGAUUUUCUUGUUAUUAGCAAAUUUGACAUUUGCCUGAUGAAAUGCACAUAGAAUGUGAAAGCUAUACAGUACUCAGAAGAAUGUCUCCACUCCAAUCCUAGCUACCAAGAUGAAAUAAUUUAGGUAAAGGAAAUGUAAAGGUCCUUGUACAUCUCUUGCUGCAGAAUGCUAGGGUUGUGUUAUAAAUGAAAGAACCAAAUAUUGCUGAGCUUUAAGAGUGAUAGUAUUCUGACACAUGUGAAGCUCAUAGUGUUUCUUCUCUCACCUUAGCUGCUUUGACAAUUCACUUAAACAUAAUACAUAUGCUCAAAUGCAGCAACUUACGUGUCGUGAGCCCAGCCUUUCUCUGGUUUGAGAUCUUGGGGCUGGGGCUUUGUUCAUUUUUAGGAAAAAAUGUUGCUUUUUCCUCUAACUAGGUCAAUAAUUCCAGCUUUUCCGUUUUUAAAGCUUAUCAAAUCAAUAUUUUACCAACAUGAUGCUAAUUUAGAACAUCAUCAGAUAACACUGUGGAUACAUAUUGAAAACAUAUUUUAAUGGUUUUGUUUGUUUUGGCAUCAUAUGAACCAAGAACAAUUAAAUUAAAAAGAGACUUUUAAAAGUUAGAGAUUGCCUUUUUAAAGCUUAUUAAAAUCAGCAUGUUAACAUGCCUGUCUCUGAAUUAGCUCUCACACUUGAUUGCCAUCAUUAAAACGAGUUGUUUGGGUGCUGCUCAAAGCCGAUUCUUACUAGUUGUUAACUUGAAAUCUCUUUCCAUUGAAAAGUUAAAAAAAAAAAAAAAUCAUUCUCACUAGUGGAAGAAACAGUCACCAAAAUGUGAACUAGCACAGCAAGCCAGCAACAUUAAACCACGAAAAGACCAACAGGUAAAAUAACUACAGUAACAUCUAAAACACACUCAGGAAAAAAAAAAACCACAACAACAACAAAGAAGCAGUCCAUUGAUUAUAUUUCAUGAAUGCCUUAAAACAAAUGUUUAAACAGUUUCUGAAACAGUGCAGAAAACCUCUGCAUGCUCCACUGGGUUGCAAUGACAAUGGUCUAUUGCAAUGUAAAACACGCUGGAGGAUAAAAAGGUGCUUUUUGUUACCAUUUUAUCAAAGCUGUUCAUCUUCGAGCUGCAGGCAGCAUUUUGCUGGAAUUGCAGAUAUUUCUCUGUCCAGGCUCCUUUGUUUGUGCAUCUCAUUUGCAUAUAUUUAUCUCCAGCUGAGGGUGCGUUCUGCUCAUUAAGGCCUCCCUUCACAUUAUUUCAUAAGCCAGCUGCUGAGAGGGAUUUCACCUGUGGUGACUGAGAAAAGAGGGGUGAAAAACUAAAUUCUUCAUAAAAAGGAAAUCUUCUGAGUCUCUUCCCCUAUAAAUGGGCACCAUUUGUGUUAAACAGCCUCUUGUCAUGAUAGAUGCCUCCAGAGGUCAGGGGUUAAAGUUGAUUCGAAGGUCAGCAGUAAAACAACAGACAAACCAGACGCCAAACUGGUUCCUUAGCUGUCGGUGGGAGCUGUGGUACAACCAGGUCUUGAACCUUUUUCAACCUCUAAUAAAACAGGGGAUGAAUCUGAAGUGGAUCAACCAGGCCCCUGAGGAAGCAGCACAGAAAAACACAAAUAAUAUCAAUAUCAGGCAGCCACGGGGAAACAAUGGGGCAUUUCUCCGUGCUACAUGCAUGCUGCUAUUGUUUCAAGGGCUGGGGAAUUAAUUCCACUUAUUUAUUUAAGGCGUGUCAACUCACUGCCUAAACCUGUUUCAGUGUCAAGAUGAAUAAAACUUUUAUGGCUCAUAAAAUAGAGCCAUUCA